AGAUCUAUACUGCCCACAACAGUCCUGGGCGGUCUCCACAGGAGAAGAAGGACCCUGGUUUACUGUGCAACAGGUAAUCUGCACAAGCUCAAGGCUGGCCAGAUUGGUUUCCAAAGAGCUGAUAAUGGCAUGGGACUGAGCAUCUUUUGAGAGUCAGUGAAAGUUGACCAGGGAUCCCUGGCAAUGUGGAUGCAGAUGGCAGUGGGGGACUGUCAUCAGCUGCUGACUGUCCUCAGAGCAGCUGCAGAGGCAGUGGGGCGCUUUAGAAACAACCAAGUCUUGGCAUCUUAUUCCUUUCUGGAUCACAUUCAAGCCUUCCUCCCUACACCCCCACCAUCUACAAAGUUCUCUGACAAGAAUGAAAGCAGGUACUUGGCUUCCCAAACAUGAUGUCCAUUAGGGAUGCCACAUGCACAAGUGACAGGAGCCACAGGG